GACGAACCGUGCGAACGUUGUUCGGAAUCACUGGGCUUAAAGGGCGCGUAGGCGGCAGAUCAAGUCCGGGGUGAGAUCCUCCAGCUCAACUGGAGAAGUGCCUUGGAUACUGAUUUGCUCGAGGGAGGUAGGGGUCGAGGGAACUUCUGGUGGAGCGGUGAAAUGCGUUGAUAUCAGAAGGAACGCCGGUGGCGAAAGCGCUCGACUGGAUCUCUUCUGACGCUGAGGCGCGAAAGCUAGGGGAGCAAAC
rnacentral:rRNA from 1 species